rnacentral:rRNA from 1 species
GAUGAACGCUAGCGGCGUGCUUAACACAUGCAAGUCGAACGGAAAAGAGUAAUAUCUUUUAGUGGCGGACGGGUGAGUAAUGUGUGAGAAUUUGCCCUUAUGGCAGAGGAUAACAAUUAGAAAUAAUUGCUAAAACUCUAUAUGUUGUUAAUUUUAAAGAAUUAACAAUGAAAAAAGAAAUUUGCCUAAGGAGAAGCUCACAUUUGAUUAGCUAGUUGGUAAGGUAAAAGCUUACCAAGGCGACGAUCAAUAGCUGGUCUGAGAGGAUGAUCAGCCACACUGGAACUGAGACACGGGUCCAGACUUCUACGGAAGGCAGCAGUGAGGAAUAUUCCGCAAUGGGCGAAAGCCUGACGGAGCAACGCCGCGUGAGGGAUGACGGCC